UAUGGUAGAGGUGCAGCCGCGAUUAGUACCGCCUGAUAGGAUAACCGGUCCGUUUUAUUCAGACGCGAAAGGCAAAGCUGCCGAAGAGCAGAUUCCGGUAAAAUCUGUUCUGAUUGCAGUCUUAACAGGACUGUGAUUGUCAUCAGCGUUUGAUGGAGAGCUAUCGG
rnacentral:ncRNA from 1 species